rnacentral:rRNA from 11 species
UCUUGGAGGUAGAGCACUGUUUGGGUGAGGGGUCCAUCCCGGAUUACCAAUCUCAGAUAAACUCCGAAUGCCAAUGAAUUAUGGUCGGCAGUCAGACUGCGAGUGCUAAGAUCCGUAGUCGAAAGGGAAACAGCCCAGACCACCAGCUAAGGUCCCAAAAUAAUUGUUAAGUGGAAAAGGAUGUGGGGUUGCACAGACAACUAGGAUGUUAGCUUAGAAGCAGCUAUUCAUUCAAAGAGUGCGUAAUAGCUCACUAGUCGAGUGCCAUUGCGCGGAAAAUGUACCGGGGCUAAACAUAUUACCGAAACUGCGGGUGCACGUAAGUGCGCGAUAGGAGAGCGUUGUAAGGGCAAUGAAGGUAGACCGUGAGGACUGCUGGAGCGCUUACAAGUGAGAAUGCCGGUAUGAGUAGCGAAAGACAGGUGAGAAUCCUGUCCACCGAAUGACUAAGGUUUCCUGGGGAAGGCUCGUCCACCCAGGGUUAGUCGGGACCUAAGGCGAGGCUGAGAAGCGUAGUCGAUGGAUAACAGGUUGAGAUUCCUGUACCAGUAGUAAUGCGUUUGACCGAUGGAGGGACGCAGGAGGCUACCAGAUGCGCACUGAUGGAUAUGUGCGUGCAAGCAGUAAGUCUUGUAGAGAGUGAAAUGCUUUCUACUAUAAGGACAAGCUGUGAUGCGGAUCGAAAUAAAGUAGAGAAGUCUGAGACGUCACACUGCCGAGAAAAGCUUCUAGGAAGUAUUACACUGCCCGUACCGCAAACCGACACAGGUAGUCGAGUGGAGAACACUAAGGUGAGCGAGAGAACCCUCGUUAAGGAACUCGGCAAAAUGACCCCGUAACUUCGGGAGAAGGGGUGCUCAUGGCAACAUGAGCCGCAGUGAAUAGGCCCAGGCGACUGUUUAUCAAAAACACAGGACUCUGCAAAAUAGAAAUAUGACGUAUAGG